rnacentral:rRNA from 1 species
AUUGAACACUGGCGGCAGGCUUAACACAUGCAAGUCGAGCGGAGAUGAGGUGCUUGCACCUUAUCUUAGCGGCGGACGGGUGAGUAAUGCUUAGGAAUCUGCCUAUUAGUGGGGGACAACAUUCCGAAAGGAAUGCUAAUACCGCAUACGUCCUACGGGAGAAAGCAGGGGAUCCUCGGACCUUGCGCUAAUAGCUGAGCCUAAGUCGGAUUAGCUAGUUGGUGGGGUAAAGGCCUACCAAGGCGACGAUCUGUAGCGGGUCUGAGAGGAUGAUCCGCCACACUGGGACUGAGACACGGCCCAGACUCCUACGGGAGGCAGCAGUGGGGAGUAUUGGACAAUGGGGGGAACCCUGAUCCAGCCAUGCCGCGUGUGUGAAGAAGGCCUUAUGGUUGUAAAGCACUUUAAGCGAGGAGGAGGCUACUGAGACUAAUACUCUUGGAUAGUGGACGUUACUCGCAGAAUAAGCACCGGCUAACUCUGUGCCAGCCGCCGCAGUAA